UCAAUGGCUUGCCAUUAAGGAAAGUGGCAAAUGGGUGAGUAACACGUAAGUAAUCUGCCCUCGAGUGGGGAAUAGCCUCGCGAAAGCGGGAUUAAUACCGCAUAACACUCUGGAACAAAAGUUCUUAGAGUCAAUGCCUUCGGGUACUUGAGGAUGAGCUUGCGGCCUAUUAGCUAGUUGGUAGGGUAACUGCCUACCAAGGCUGAGAUGGGUAGCCGGCCUGAGAGGGUGUACGGUCACACUGGAACUGCGACACGGUCCAGACUCCUACGGGAGGCAGCAGUGGGGAAUUUUGCGCAAUGGGCGAAAGCCUGACGCAGCGACGCCGCGUGGAGGAUGAAGGCCUUCGGGUUGUAAACUCCUGUUAGAAGAGAAGAAUCCCCGAUUUAUCGGGUUGACGGUAUCUUCAGAGGAAGCCCCGGCUAACUACGUGCCAGCAGCCGCGGUAAAACGUAGGGGGCAAACGUUGCUCGGAAUUACUGGGCUUAAAGGGUACGCAGGUGGUUAAGCAAGUCAAUAAUGAAAUCCCGAGGCUCAACCUCGGAAUGGUUGUCGAAACUGUUUAACUUGAGGUUAGUUUAGGAGAACGGAAUUCCCG
rnacentral:rRNA from 1 species